UACGUAGGGGGCAAGCGUUGUCCGGAUUUACUGGGCGUAAAGAGCGUGUAGGCGGUCAUGUAGGUCCGUUGUGAAAACUCGAGGCUCAACCUCGAGACGCCGAUGGAAACCAUGUGACUAGAGUCCGGAAGAGGAGACUGGAAUUCCUGGUGUAGCGGUGAAAUGCGCAGAUAUCAGGAAGAACACCCGUGGCUAAGGCGGGUCUCUAGUACGGCACUGACGCUGAGACGCGAAAGCGUGGGGAGCGAACAGG
rnacentral:rRNA from 1 species